AUGGACCCCAAGCUGCUCGCGCUCGCCGCGUCCGCGGCCGUGCUGCUGGCCCUGGCCUUGCCGGCGCCGGCGUCCGGGCAGGCCGCGGCGGCGACGCCGUCAUGCACGGCGUCGCUCGUCUCCAGCUUCACGCCGUGCCUCAGCUACAUCACCAACGGCAACAGCUCGUCGCCCACGGCGGGCUGCUGCCGGUCCCUGUCGGCACUGGUGAACGCCAGCACGGGCUGCGCGUGCCUCCUCCUCACCGGCAGCGUGCCCCUCGGCGGCGUGCCGGUCAACCGGACGCUCGCCGUCACGCUGCCCAGGGCCUGCAACUCCAUGGCCGUCCCGCUUCAGUGCAAAGGUACGUC
rnacentral:rRNA from 1 species